GGGGAUUUAGCUCAGUGGUUGAGCGUUUGCCUAGCAAGCACAAGGCCCUGGGUUCGUUCGGUCCCCAGCCCCC
rnacentral:tRNA from 1 species